rnacentral:rRNA from 1 species
UACAGAGGUCUCAAGCGUUGUUCGGAUUCAUUGGGCGUAAAGGGUGCGUAGGUGGCGGGGUAAGUCAGAUGUGAAAUCUCAGGGCUCAACCCCGAAACUGCAUUUGAUACUGCUUUGCUAGAGUACUGGAGAGGAGAUUGGAAUUUACGGUGUAGCAGUGAAAUGCGUAGAUAUCGUAAGGAAGACCAGUGGCGAAGGCGAAUCUCUGGACAGUUACUGACACUGAGGCACGAAGGCCAGGGGAGCAAACGGG